UACAGAGGGUGCGAGCGUUAAUCGGAAUCAUUGGGCGUAAAGGGCGCGUAGGCGGCUUGUACAGUCAGACGUGAAAUUCCUGGGCUCAACCUGGGGGCUGCGUUUGAUACGUGCGGGCUUGAGUUCGGAAGAGGGUCGUGGAAUUCCCAGUGUAGAGGUGAAAUUCGUAGAUAUUGGGAAGAACACCGGUGGCGAAGGCGGCGACCUGGUCCGAUACUGACGCUGAGGCGCGAAAGCGUGGGGAGCAAACAGG
rnacentral:rRNA from 1 species